rnacentral:rRNA from 1 species
UAGGACGGAGCACGAGAAACUUUGUCUGAACAUGGGGGGACCAUCCUCCAAGGCUAAAUACUACUGACUGACCGAUAGUGAACCAGUACCGUGAGGGAAAGGCGAAAAGAACCCCGGAGAGGGGAGUGAAAUAGAACCUGAAACCGUAUGCGUACAAGCAGUGGGAGCCUACUUGUUAGGUGACUGCGUACCUUUUGUAUAAUGGGUCAGCGACUUAUAUUCAGUGGCAAGCUUAACCGUAUAGGGUAGGCGUAGCGAAAGCGAGUCUUAAUAGGGCGUUUAGUCGCUGGGUAUAGACCCGAAACCGGGCGAUCUAUCCAUGAGCAGGUUGAAGGUUAGGUAACACUGACUGGAGGACCGAACCCACUCCCGUUGAAAAGGUAGGGGAUGACUUGUGGAUCGGAGUGAAAGGCUAAUCAAGCUCGGAGAUAGCUGGUUCUCCUCGAAAGCUAUUUAGGUAGCGCCUCAUGUAUCACUCUGGGGGGUAGAGCACUGUUUCGGCUAGGGGGUCAUCCCGACUUACCAAACCGAUGCAAACUCCGAAUACCCAGAAGUGCCGAGCAUGGGAGACACACGGCGGGUGCUAACGUCCGUCGUGAAAAGGGAAACAACCCAGACCGCCAGCUAAGGUCCCAAAGUUGUGGUUAAGUGGUAAACGAUGUGGGAAGGCUUAGACAGCUAGGAGGUUGGCUUAGAAGCAGCCAUCCUUUAAAGAAAGCGUAAUAGCUCACUAGUCGAGUCGGCCUGCGCGGAAGAUGUAACGGGGCUCAAACCACAC